GACUCUGUGGUGAAAUUCAUGGUGAGUUGCAAGCUCAUUGAUGUGCGUUGAUUACGCGCCGGAGUCU
rnacentral:tRNA from 1 species